UUGUUGUAUGAAAGGAGUGUAGGUUAGCAUUCCCCUUGACAAGGAUGGAACAGACCCCUGAGUCCAUCAACACACAUACGGUUAAGGCAUUGUCACCUACUUUGUGGCAUCUCUUACCAUCUCU